rnacentral:rRNA from 1 species
GACGAACGCUGGCGGCGUGCUUAACACAUGCAAGUCGAACGGAAAGGCCCUGCUUUUGUGGGGUGCUCGAGUGGCGAACGGGUGAGUAACACGUGAGUAACCUGCCCUUGACUUUGGGAUAACUUCAGGAAACUGGGGCUAAUACCGGAUAGGAGCUCCUGCUGCAUGGUGGGGGUUGGAAAGUUUCGGCGGUUGGGGAUGGACUCGCGGCUUAUCAGCUUGUUGGUGGGGUAGUGGCUUACCAAGGCUUUGACGGGUAGCCGGCCUGAGAGGGUGACCGGCCACAUUGGGACUGAGAUACGGCGCAGACUCCUACGGGAGGCAGCAGUGGAGAAUAUUGCACAAUGGGCGGAAGCCUGAUGCAGCAACGCCGCGUGCGGGAUGACGGCCUUCGGGUUGUAAACCGCUUUCGCCUGUGACGAAGCGUGAGUGACGGUAAUGGGUAAAGAAGCAACGGCUAACUACGUG